rnacentral:tRNA from 1 species
GGUCCCAUGGUCAAGAGGUUAAGACAUCGCCCUUUCACGGCGGUAACAGGGGUUCGAUUCCCCUUGGGACUACCA